GGGAAGGAGUGGAAAGACUAUGGAUCUUCAUUAGCUGCUAAACUUAAAAGAUGUCCUGAACUUAUUACUAACACGCAAUCACAAAUACAAGACUUAUUUUCGAAGCUAGAUGUUCUGUAUGACUCUGAUUUAUUAGAGACAUGGAUGAAGGAAGAAGAAAAACUAAUUAAUGAGAAGAAUUCAAAACGGGCACUUCCGUUAACAUGGCAACAAAAAUAUGUGGAAAGUUUAUUGCAACUUUACCAGCUAAGAAUGCAGAUUGCUUGUAUUCAGGAAGUUGAUCAUGGUCACUUUGCGGAUAUUG